rnacentral:rRNA from 1 species
UACGAAGGUGGCUAGCGUUGUUCGGAUUUACUGGGCGUAAAGCGCACGUAGGCGGACUAUUAAGUCAGGGGUGAAAUCCCGGGGCUCAACCCCGGAACUGCCUUUGAUACUGGUAGUCUUGAGUUCGAGAGAGGUGAGUGGAAUUCCGAGUGUAGAGGUGAAAUUCGUAGAUAUUCGGAGGAACACCAGUGGCGAAGGCGGCUCACUGGCUCGAUACUGACGCUGAGGUGCGAAAGCGUGGGGAGCAAACAGG